CUACACAAAGCGGGCCACUUAACCAGCACUGCCAUGGUUUGGAAAAGCUCUUGCUUAGUUUGUAGCAUCUUAUGCUUUUUAACACUCGAUCGAAAUCAUGUUUUAUCUGAAAUCACUUGCCAACCAGGUGAAAAGGCCACAAAGUCAAGGGACGGAUGUAUACCCUGCCCAGAUGGACAAUACAACAAUAAACACAGUCAAAUUAGAGAGUGUCGAAACUGCGAUCCUUGUGAAUUAAAUAGUUUUGAAGUUACGCCAUGCAGACCGAAACAAAAUACUGAAUGUCGUUGCAAUGAAGGCUUUAAAGGGUUGGAUAAAACACAAAAAAGGUGCAUUUGCCCAAAAGGAUCAGGGAUAAAGAAUCUAGGAAACGGAAAGAAAUCUGUGAGAAAUGUCCACCUAAGACCUUCAGUAAUCAAACUAACUCUAAAUGUCAACCAUUGCCAGAGUACGGUGAGAAAAUUCCAGGAAGUACUACCUCUGACGUCAAUUACGGAACUAAAGCAAAAACAGUAGUGGCUCCUUCCUCCCCCUUUCCUUUGCCUAUCACAUCCAACAGCACCCCAACCAUGAAUUCAAGCAGAAACUCAAUCUCUACCCCCACCAUCUCCAAUCCUAAACUCCAAGACAACAAGAACCAUGCUCUCUGUAACAUUAAUGUUUAAUUUGCACUAACCUUGAAAUAUGCUUAUGUGUUGAGUUGUUCAGUAGUGAAUGUUGAAAUUUCUCAAUUCCAGGUCUGGCCUCUGUCACAGCUUUUCUGCUUUUCAUCCUCAUACUAAAGUUAAGCAGGUGUUGUAGGAAAAAGACAAAGAUAAUACGCCAAGGCAGUGCAUGUGGAAAGCCGGUCGAGGAAUCUGGCGAGAAAUUCCUUCCUCCUGUGUAGUCCUCACCCACAUGCCAUAUGCACCUCUAUCAUUAAUCGUAACAUUUGCUAUGACUGAGAAUUAGCAGUAGGUAUUAUAUACCAGUGAAACCCACAGUGUUUUUAACUGCACUUUACAUUGCUAUAGCCCUGGUUCAGUGAGUAUGUUCCGUGACUGAAAGAAACUGAAACUGAGUGAUAUGAUUAGCAGAUUUCCCGUAUAAGGAAAGUGAACUGUCACAGAGGUGUUUAUUCACCCUCAACCCACUUCAUUUAAAUGUCUGUCCUGAACUUUGUAUUGGGACUGAAACAUUAUCAAAACAUGUAAUUCUUUUAUAGGAAUGUCAAUGUCAUAUUCUGAAGUUAUGAUAUAUAGUGCUCAAUGGAAUGAUUUUGAAUCAUGCAUUAGCACUUGGAUCAUUAUUUUGUAUAGUUAGUUUUCUUUCAUGAAAGGAAGUUAUUUGUUCAUUUUUAUUUUUAUGUGUACAGAAUAACUAGAAAAGCAUAGAUUUUUGGUUUAUAGAAAGAUGUUGGCUAUUAAAGCCAGCUUUGUAACUAUUGUGUAGCUACUAAAAAACAUCACUGUGAACCCAUAACCUUUUGUUGGUUUUUCCAAAAUGCCCUCUUUUUUUUCUGAUUUACUUUACCACAGAAACGGGUUAAUGCCCUGUGAUGAUUCAUAAGCUCCUAAGAUACUAAACCUGGAUAAUGUGUGGGCUUAGGACAAACUGAGAAUGCUUUUACACACACACACAAACACACAUAUAGAUACACGUGUGUGUGUGUGUGUGUGUAUCUAUAUGUAUGUUUGUGUGUGUAUAUAUACGUAUAUAUACACACACAAUAGACAUUUAUUAAUGCUUAAGAAUACACAUUUGUAUUGGUAGGUAUAUGUCAUAUGUUGUUUGCUUGCAAUUGUUAUCAUUUAUACAUUAUUUCACAGUGUUAAGAUUCAAUUUUAUAAGCCUGUUUAAACAUGACGUGUGUGUGUGUGUGUGUGUGUGUGUGUGUGUGUGUGUGUGUGUGUGUGUCUUUUCACAUGACCCAUCCAAAAAAAAGUCAUCACUCUCAUUUAACUUAGCAAAUAUUUAAGCAUCUCCGAUUGGAUAACUGCUUUACAUUUGCGGCAUUUAGCAGACGCCCUUAUCCAGAGCGACGUGCAAAAGUGCUUUGGGUCUCUAGCAAUGAAUAAAUCUACACUGGUACGCUAGAUUACAAACUUAAUAUAAAUAUAACUCUUGAAUUCUACAAAGCAAACUUGGAAAGUGCUAAUUUAAGUGUUUUAGGAAGAGGUAGGACUUCAACCAUCGCUUAAAGAUAGCUAGGGUCUCCGCUGUACGGACAUCUAUAUGAAGUUCAUUCCACCACCUCGGUGCCAGAACAGAGAAGAGCUUUUGAUUAUGUUAUUUGAUACAAGUUAUUUAACCCUAACUGAUGCGGUGAGGUUCUUGUAAUUUCUUAAACAACCAUGUCAGAAGAAACAGCUUGUGGUCAUGUAAAAUGUUAAUCUUUUUCAGAAGGGUCAAAAUAUCGGCAAGCAUUAAGCGAGGAAAACAUCUAAGGAGAUUGCUGAAACUACUAAAAUUGGGUUAAGAACUGUCCAACGCAUUAUUUAAAACUGAAAGUAGAGUGGGGAACCAUCAUCUUCGAGGAAGAAAUGCUGUCGGAAAAAAUCUCGAAUGAUCGUGAUCAGCGAUCACUUAAACGUUCAGUGAAAUCAAAUCGUAAAAAAAUUAUAGUAGAACUCAUAAUUGUGUUUAAUAGUGAAAGUAAGAGCAUUUCUACAUGCACAAUGCAAAGGGAGCUCAAGGAAUUGGAACUAAACAGCUGUGUGGCCUUAAGAAAACCACUUAUCAGUAAGGCUAAUCGAAACAAAAAAAAAAGGUUUCAAUUUGCUAGAGAGCAUAAAGAUUGGAGCAAUAGAAAGAGGUCAUGUGGUCUAAUGGGUCCAGAUUGACCCUUUUCCAGAGUGAGGGGUGCAUCAGGGUAGGAAGAGAGGCGGAUGAACUGAUGCACCCAUCAUGCCUAGUGCCUACCGAGCAAGCCUUUGGGGCAGUGCUAUGAUCUGGGGGCCUUUAUAUUUUGCCGUGGCAGUCCAACAAAAUAUUAGUGUGUGACUUUUUUUUGAAUGGGCAAUGUAAAUAUAUAUACAAAUUCUUAAGAAUACAAAUAGGCAGUUUUAUGUCAUAUGUUGUUUCAUUACAGUUGAUGUCAGUUAUACAUUAUUUCAGUGUUCAUACCAAACUAAGUUAUAUUUUAUAAGCCUGUUAACAUGACCUGUCUAUUACA